GCCUGGGUGGCUCAGUCAGUUAAGCAUCUGACUUCAGCUCAGGUCAUGAUCUCACAGUUUGUGAGUUCGAGCCCCACAUCAGGCU
rnacentral:tRNA from 1 species